UGUAAGCGUAUACCAAAGUUGUUGCAGUUAAAACGCUCGUAGUCGGAAUUUGGCAGUUCCGGAUGUGUGCACGUCGUGUGCGCACUUCGCGGGGAUUGCUUUUGUGGUCUUGCGUAGGAUGAGGCACUUUUAUUAGUGAACGUCCUCACGCAACCACUUUUUACUGUGAGAAAAUCAGAGUGCUCAAAGCAGGCAUUUGCCGUGAAUGUAUUAGCAUGGAAUAAUAGAAUAGGACUUGGUUCUAUUUUGUUGGUUUGUUGGGACUGAGUAAUGAUUAAGAGGGACAGUUGGGGGCACUUGUAUUUCGGUGCUAGAGGUGAAAUUCUUAGAUUACCGAAAGACAAACUGCUGCGAAAGCGUCCGCCAAGGAUGUUUUCAUUGA
rnacentral:rRNA from 1 species